CGGCCCCGAGCGCGGGCUCGGGGGCCCUGGCCCGGCCAAAACGCCCGUUGGCCCCUCUCAGAAGUUUGGCUUGUCCUCGAAACAAAUCCUUCUGCCCCACCCCCUUGAAAAAUUGAUUUGGGAGUUGGGGAAUGAAGGCUUUCUUUUUUCGUCCUUGCCUUCUUCGUUAUUAAUAUUUUGUAAAGCUCCAGCGCUGAGAGGAGUGGCCCCAAACGAGGCCAGACUGCGCGGACGGCGGGGAGCGCUGCAGCUCCAGGGGACGGCGCCGUCCGGGGACCCCGACUGCCGGCCGAGGUCUACCACUACUUCCACGCAUUGUGUAAACGACUUUCAAGCAACCCCGCAAGGUGGGUAUUUCUCCCCAUUUUGCAGACGUGGAAACUGGAAGUCAGGAGCUGGACCUGGACUCGGGCCUCCCUGACGUCACGCAUUUAGGCUGGAUUCAUUUUCACCAGUGAUGACAUCCAUAUAAAAUAAGUAUCAACUCCAGAGUAAGAUGGAAAUCGCAACAGGAAGAAUAUUGAGCCGGUUUCUAGGCUGUGCCUCCGCCCCGAUUGCGCAAUCCGUCCCAGCAAACACCUGCCCGGGGCAAUGCCAGGGGAUGCAGCCCGCAGCGUCAGCCCUCCCUGCCUCCUCGAAUACUCAGGGAUGGUGUGAGCACCUUCGCUUCCUACGGGUCCGAUCUCUGUCGGGACCACUACAAUCCUCUCGGGCACCAGCGGGUGUGACUAAGGGCUGCCUCUGGAGUCAGACUCCACCUACGUCCCGCUCCACCUGAGAUGCCGUGUGACCUUGGCAAGGAGCGUCACCUCUCUGUGCUUCGGUCUCCUCACCUGUAGCACAGGGCAGCACCUGUCCCCACCUCCACAGGCGGUCAGAGGAAUCGAUAGCACCAUACCCGGCACACGCUAAGCCGCCAAUAAA